rfam:Myotis lucifugus cont2.2921, whole genome shotgun sequence.
GGUGGUUCUCAGGUGAUGCACCCUGGAAUUGGGCUCCCCCCUUUCUGGUUCUGGGUGCAUCACCCAAGAACUGCA